GACGAACGCUGGCGGCGUGCCUAACACAUGCAAGUCGAGCGGAGCGGCGGACGGGUGAGUAAUGUCUGGGAAACUGCCCGUUGGAGGGGGAUAACGUCCGGAAACGGGCGCUAAUACUGCAUACUAUCAGAUGAGCCUAGGUCGGCUUAGCUUGUGGGUGGGGUAAAGGCCUACCAAGGCGACGAUCCGUAGCUGGGCUGAGAGGAUGAUCAGGCACACUGGAACUGAGGGACGGUCCAGCCUCCGAGGUGAGGCAGCAGUGGGGAAUAGUGGACAAUGGGCGAAAGCCUGAUCCAGCCAUGCCGCGUGUGUGAAGAAGGUCUGCGGAUUGUAAAGCACUUUAAGUUGGGAGGCGUUACCAGCAGAAGAAGCACCGGCUAACUUCGUGCCAGCAGCCGCGGUAAUUC
rnacentral:rRNA from 1 species